UACGAAGGGGGCUAGCGUUGCUCGGAAUUACUGGGCGUAAAGCGCACGUAGGCGGAUUGUUAAGUCAGGGGUGAAAUCCUGGAGCUCAACUCCAGAACUGCCUUUGAUACUGGCGAUCUUGAGUCCGGGAGAGGUGAGUGGAACUGCGAGUGUAGAGGUGAAAUUCGUAGAUAUUCGCAAGAACACCAGUGGCGAAGGCGGCUCACUGGCCCGGUACUGACGCUGAGGUGCGAAAGCGUGGGGAGCAAACAGG
rnacentral:rRNA from 1 species